rnacentral:rRNA from 1 species
UACGUAGGGUGCAAGCGUUAAUCGGAAUUACUGGGCGUAAAGCGUGCGCAGGCGGUUGUGCAAGACAGAUGUGAAAUCCCCGGGCUCAACCUGGGAAUUGCAUUUGUGACUGCACGGCUAGAGUGUGUCAGAGGGGGGUAGAAUUCCACGUGUAGCAGUGAAAUGCGUAGAGAUGUGGAGGAAUACCGAUGGCGAAGGCAGCCCCCUGGGAUAACACUGACGCUCAUGCACGAAAGCGUGGGGAGCAAACAAGG